rnacentral:tRNA from 1 species
GGCGGCAUAGCUCAGAUGGCUAGAGCAUGCGGUUCAUACCCGCAGGGUCACUGGUUCGAUCCCAGUUGCCGCCACCA